CUUGACCUCGGAUCAGGUAGGGAUACCCGCUGAACUUAAGCAUAUCAAU
rnacentral:rRNA from 8 species